rnacentral:rRNA from 1 species
UACAGAGGUCUCAAGCGUUGUUCGGAUUCAUUGGGCGUAAAGGGUGCGUAGGCGGCGCGGUAAGUCGGGUGUGAAAUCUCGGAGCUUAACUCCGAAACUGCAUUCGAUACUGCGGUGCUUGAGGACUGGAGAGGAGACUGGAAUUCAUGGUGUAGCAGUGAAAUGACGCAGAUAUCAGGAGGAACACCGGUGGCGAAGGCGGGUCUCUGGGCCGUAACUGACGCUGAGGAGCGAAAGCGUGGGGAGCGAACAGG